rnacentral:rRNA from 1 species
UACGAAGGGGGCUAGCGUUGCUCGGAAUCACUGGGCGUAAAGCGCACGUAGGUGGGUCGUUAAGUCAGGGGUGAAAUCCCGGAGCUCAACUCCGGAACUGCCUUUGAUACUGGCGACCUUCGAGUUCGGGAGAGGUGAGUGGAACUGCGAGUGUAGAGGUGAAAUUCGUAGAUAUUCGCAAGAACACCAGUGGCGAAGGCGGCUCACUGGCCCGAUACUGACACUGAGGUGCGAAAGCGUGGGGAGCAAACAGG